UGCGCGGCGCGAGAGCCAGUCAAGGGCGCCGGGGAAAGUGACCGUCAGACCUGCUGCUGUCGCCAUGUCCGGCCGCCCCGACCCCGCCCCUUGGAGGGGCGCGGCCAGGUGCAGGGAAAUCCCGCGCGGUGUGCAGUUCUCCCAGAGGAGGGACCGGCGCCCGGGCCUUUGGGCUCGGGCCAUGGCGGGGGCGAGGUCCCUGCGCUCUCCGUGCGGGGCGUGGGGGGCGACCCAGGCGGGGCCGCGAGGCGACGCCGACGCUCCUGGCUAACGAGACCUGCUGCGGCCUGAUCGGCCGCCCAGCCCUCCUGAGUCUCGCGGCGCCGAGGCGGACCCAGAGCGUCGGGAUCCCGAGAGUGAACUGGCCUCACCUGCUGAGAAACCGGGACAGCACCGAGAGCCACGCGCGCAGGUAGCCUGUUGCAGUCUGGAAGUGCGGCAGCGCUUCGAAAGAAACAUUAUGUUUGCCGGAAACUGAAAUCUGGAUCUCUUCUAUCGUCUCCUGGAUGUCGGGUUUUCCUGUGGAGAUUGGUAUUGACGUUUAUUUCCCCUUGAAAGCAGGACUUCUUCCUGUCCUGUCGUCCCAGCAAGAGUGCCAGACCAGCCCCCAGGCUACAGACCCACAGAGGCAGCCGCUUCUCAAACCUCCAAAACUUGCAGCCCAAUAUUUUGCCCAUUUAAAGAUUUUUUUAGCUGGCCAAGGUGGCACAUGCCUGUAAUCCCAGCGCUCAAGAGGCUGAGGCAAGAGGAUCCUCACAAGUUCAGGGCCAUCCUGGGCUCCCUGAUGAGUUCAAGGCCUGUGCUCAACUUCUGGGCUCCCUUGGUCUUUCCCUCCCUUUGCUGCAAGAUGGACACUCCCAGCGCUGUAGACUGGACUGGUCGUAGAGUCACUACACAGCCAUGCAGUGAGCCAUCUCCUCACCAUCGUCCUGGGAAGCCCUCGGUGUCCCUCUGCAGCCAGUCCCUUCCCUCAGCCACUGGUCUUUGACAGCCAUUGACCCACUACUAUUGUAGCCUUUGCCUUUUCUGGAAUUCCAUGUGAAGGAAGAAACGGUACAGCAUGGGGUGUGUUUCUUUGGCUUCUACCCCUCAGCAUAAUGCUUUAGAGAUUCAGCUACGUUGUUUUAUCAGAAGUUUGUUUCCUUUUGCUGUAGAGUACUCCCUGAUAUGAAUGUACUCAUAUUUGUCCAUUUGAUGUUUGUUUCCAUUUGGGCUGCUGUGAAUAUUUGUGCGGAAGUCUUCCGGGUAGUCCUGCAGAAGAUGGAUUGCCAGGUUGUAUGGAAAAGAAGAAGAGCUUGAUGGAAUUUGGGUUGGGAAUGCAUCGGCUCUUUAGAUUACCUGGGGAAGAAUUGAUGUCCCAACAAUACGGAGUCUUCCCAGUCCAUGGGCAUGGUACAGUAUAUCUCCCCACUGAUUCUCUUGCCAUUUAAUUUCUCUCAAUUUUCUUUUAGCUUUCACUGUGCAAGUCUUACAAAUAUUUUGUUAAACUUACCCUAGGUAUUUUUUCUGAUUCUAACAGUGGAAAAUAUUUUAAAAUUUCAAAUGCAGUUGUUUUUAUAUCAGACUUUGUGCCCUGCAAUUUUGCUAAACUUCUUAGUUCUAAUAGCUUAUUAUUACGGAUUCUUUAGAAGGUUUUACAUCCACAGUCAUGUAGUCUGCAAAUAAAGACAGCCGUACUUCUUCCUGA